GCAGUGACUUGUCUAAGGUCAUCUAGUAGGCCAUUGGCAGAGCUGGGAGUAGAAUCCAGGUCUCCUAAGUCCCAAUCCAGCACUCCAGCCACUAGGCAGCACUGCCUCCCUCAUGUAGCUUUGGCUGUCGUUAAUUUUGUAAAAACAAUCCUGCUGCAAAUAGCUGUUGGCUCAAACAUCACUAAAUGACUCAGCUAUGGUAAAAAUCCUAUUUUCAGAACGAUCAUUUCCUUCCCUUUAACACCUCAGAUUAUCAAUAAUAAGAAAAAAUAAAUGAAAACCAAAUGAAAGGGAAUUGGCUAGCUGUGUGAUACUUCAUCGAGGGCUUGGUACAUUUCAAUCCAUUUCUGUAAACUGGGCAUGUCCUGCUUCU